GACUCUGUGGACCAAUGGAUAAGGUGCUGGUCUAUUCAACCAUAGAUUUUGGGUUCGAUCCCCAGCAGAGUCG